rnacentral:rRNA from 1 species
UACGUAGGGUGCAAGCGUUGUCCGGAAUUAUUGGGCGUAAAGAGCUCGUAGGCGGUGUGUCGCGUCGGCCGUGAAAACCUGCAGCUUAACUGUGGGCUUGCGGUCGAUACGGGCAUCACUGGAGUUCGGCAGGGGAGACUGGAAUUCCUGGUGUAGCGGUGAAAUGCGCAGAUAUCAGGAGGAACACCGGUGGCGAAGGCGGGCCUCUGGGCCGAUACUGACGCUGAGGAGCGAAAGCGUGGGGAGCGAACAGG